ACAUCACCAGUUCCUGUAUGAUUACCAAAGUUAAGCCAUGUUGAGCAUGGUCAGUACCUAGAUGAGUGACCACUUGGGAAUAUCAAGUGCUGUAAG